rfam:Ovis aries breed Texel chromosome 2, whole genome shotgun sequence.
UCCCUGGUGGUCCAGUGAUUAGAACUCUGUACUUUCACUGCCAAGGGCCCAGGUUCAACCCCUGGUCAGGGAA